rnacentral:rRNA from 1 species
UACGGGGGGGGCAAGCGUUGUUCGGAAUUACUGGGCGUAAAGGGCUCGUAGGCGGCCAACUGAGUCGGACGUGAAAUCCCCAGGCUCAACCUGGGAACUGCGUCCGAUACUGGAUGGCUUGAAUUCGGGAGAGGGAUGCAGAAUUCCAGGUGUAGCGGUGAAAUGCGUAGAUAUCUGGAGGAAUACCGGUGGCGAAGGCGGCAUCCUGGACCGACAUUGACGCUGAUGAGCGAAAGCUAGGGGAGCAAACGGG